CCUACGGGGUGCAGCAGUAGGGAAUCUUCCACAAUGGGCGAAAGCCUGAUGGAGCAACGCCGCGUGGGUGAAGAAGGUCUUCGGAUCGUAAAACCCUGUUGUUAGAGAAGAAAGUGCGUGCGAGUAACUGUUCACGUUUCGACGGUAUCUAACCAGAACGCCUCGGCGAACUACGUGCCAGCAGCCGCGGUAAUACGUAGGUGGCAAGCGUUAUCCGGAUUUAUUGGGCGUAAAGGGAACGCAGGCGGUCUUUUAAGUCUGAUGUGAAAGUCUUCGGCUUAACCGGAGUAGUGCAUUGGAAACUGGGAGACUUGAGUGCAGAAGAGGAGAGUGGAACUCCAUGUGUAGCGGUGAAAUGCGUAGAUAUAUGGAAGAACACCAGUGGCGAAAGCGGCUCACUGGUCUGUAACUGACGCUGAGGUUCGAAAGCGUGGGUAGCAAACAGGAUUAGAUACCCUAGUAGUC
rnacentral:rRNA from 1 species